rnacentral:rRNA from 1 species
CCUACGGGGGGCAGCAGUGGGGAAUAUUGGACAAUGGGGGGAACCCUGAUCCAGCCAUGCCGCGUGUGUGAAGAAGGCCCUCGGGUUGUAAAGCACUUUCAGUGAGGAAGAACGCCUGGUGGUUAAUACCCAUCAGGAAAGACAUCACUCACAGAAGAAGCACCGGCUAACUCCGUGCCAGCAGCCGCGGUAAUACGGAGGGUGCGAGCGUUAAUCGGAAUUACUGGGCGUAAAGCGCGCGUAGAUGGCUUGAUAAGCCGGUUGUGAAAGCCCCGGGCUCAACCUGGGAACGGCAUCCGGAACUGUCAAGCUAGAGUGCAGGAGAGGAAGGUAGAAUUCCCGGUGUAGCGGUGAAAUGCGUAGAGAUCGGGAGGAAUACCAGUGGCGAAGGCGGCCUUCUGGACUGACACUGACACUGAGGUGCGAAAGCGUGGGUAGCAAACAGGAUUAGAUACCCCGGUAGUC